rnacentral:rRNA from 1 species
AGUGAACGCUGGCGGUAGGCCUAACACAUGCGAGUCGAACGGCAGCACAGUAAGAGCUUGCUCUUACGGGUGGCGAGUGGCGGACGGGUGAGGAAUACAUCGGAAUCUACUUUUUCGUGGGGGAUAACGUAGGGAAACUUACGCUAAUACCGCAUACGAUCUACGGGUGAAAGCAGGGGAUCUUCGGACCUUGCGCGAUUGAAUGAGCCGAUGUCGGAUUAGUUAGUUGGCGGGGUAAGGGCCCACCAAGGCGACGAUCCGUAGCUGGUCUGGGAGGAUGAUCAGCCACAAUGGAAAUGAGACACGGUCCAGACUCCUAAGGGAGGCAGCAGUGGGGAAUAGUGGAAAAUGGGCGAAAGCCUGAUCCAGACAUAACGAGUGGGUGAAGAAGGGCUUCGGGUUGUAAAGCCCUUUUGUUGGGAAAGAAAAGCAGAAGGUUAAUACCCCGCUGUUCUGACGGUACCAAAAGAAUAAGCACCGGAUAACUUCGUG